UAUUUUGGGUAAUCGCUAUAUUAUAUAGAGGAAAGUCCAUGCUCACACAGUCUGAGAUGAUUGUAGUGUUCGUGCUUGAUGAAACAAUAAAUCAAGGCAUUAAUUUGACGGCAAUGAAAUAUCCUAAGUCUUUCGAUAUGGAUAGAGUAAUUUGAAAGUGCCACAGUGACGUAGCUUUUAUAGAAAUAUAAAAGGUGGAACGCGGUAAACCCCUCGAGUGAGCAAUCCAAAUUUGGUAGGAGCACUUGUUUAACGGAAUUCAACGUAUAAACGAGACACACUUCGCGAAAUGAAGUGGUGUAGACAG
rnacentral:RNase_P_RNA from 1 species